rnacentral:rRNA from 1 species
AGUGAACGCUGGCGGUAGGCCUAACACAUGCAAGUCGAGCGGCAGCACAGUAAGAGCUUGCUCUUACGGGUGGCGAGUGGCGGACGGGUGAGGAAUACAUCGGAAUCUACUUUUUCGUGGGGGAUAACGUAGGGAAACUUACGCUAAUACCGCAUACGACCUACGGGUGAAAGCAGGGGAUCUUCGGACCUUGCGCGAUUGAAUGAGCCGAUGUCGGAUUAGCUAGUUGGCGGGGUAAAGGCCCACCAAGGCGACGAUCCGUAGCUGGUCUGAGAGGAUGAUCAGCCACACUGGAACUGAGACACGGUCCAGACUCCUACGGGAGGCAGCAGUGGGGAAUAUUGGACAAUGGGCGCAAGCCUGACCCAGCCAUACCGCGUGGGUGAAGAAGGCCUUCGGGUUGUAAAGCCCUUUUGUUGGGAAAGAAAAGCAGCAGGUUAAUACCCCGCUGUUCUGACGGUACCCAAAGAAUAAGCACCGGCUAACUUCGUG